ensembl:miRNA MIR203B microRNA 203b
CUCAGCUUCUCUGGUGCAGUGGUUCUUAACAGUUCAACAGUUCUAUUAAAAAAUUGUGAAAUGUUUAGGACCACUCGAUCAGGGCAGGCCUCAGCAGC